rnacentral:lncRNA from 1 species
GUUGGAAACAGUUAGAAGGGCUUUCGGGAGCGGGCGACCGUGGCACUUCGGAGCAGCGCCUGUCCCCCCUCAGCCCUAGAAAAUGAUCAAGUCAAUCAUGUGGACAUGCCUCAUUAUUCAUUGAACACAAUCUUUUACAACGCUUCGUUUACGUGCCGGAGUUUGCUCCCUACUCGUUUCUUUAAGUGUUUAAGGUCUUAUUUUUACAGUUCCUGACCAUCAGUCUCUACCCUACAUCUUUAAGAAAUUCCCUCAAUCAAGAGCGAGGUCCGUUGCUUUAAGGAUAACCUGGUAAGAAACAUCCAAUUCAUGGCAUAUUAAAAUGCUAUCUGUUUAUGGGUCUGUAUGGGUAAACCAAACUGCUA